UGGGGAAUAUUGCACAAUGGGCGCAAGCCUGAUGCAGCCAUGCCGCGUGUAUGAAGAAGGCCUUCGGGUUGUAAAGUACUUUCAGCGGGGAGGAAGGGAGUAAAGUUAAUACCUUUGCUCAUUGACGUUACCCGCAGAAGAAGCACCGGCUAACUCCGUGCCAGCAGCCGCGUUAAUACGGAGGGUGCAAGCGUUAAUCGGAAUUACUGGGCGUAAAGCGCACGCAGGCGGUUUGUUAAGUCAGAAGUGAAAUCCCCGGACUCAACCUGGGAACUGCAUCUGUUACUGGCACGCUUGAGUCCCGUAGAGGGGGGUAGAAUUCCAGGUGUAGAGGUGAAAUGCGUAGAGAUCUGGAGGAUUACCGGUGGCGAAGGCGGCCCCCUGGAAGAAGAAUGACGCUCAGGUGCGAAAGCGUGGGGAGCAAACAGG
rnacentral:rRNA from 1 species